rnacentral:rRNA from 1 species
UGAGCUUGAUCCUGGCUCAGGACGAACGCUGGCGGCGUGCCUAAUACAUGCAAGUCGAGCGCAGGAAACUAAGCAGAUCCCUUCGGGGUGAAGUUUUGUGGAAUGAGCGGCGGACGGGUGAGUAACACGUGGGCAACCUACCUAUAAGACUGGGAUAACUCAUGGAAACAGGAGCUAAUACCGGAUAACCGGUGCGUUCGCAUGAACGCACUUUAAAAGGCGGCAUUUGCUGUCACUUAUAGAUGGGCCCGCGGCGCAUUAGCUAGUUGGUGAGGUAAUGGCUCACCAAGGCAACGAUGCGUAGCCGACCUGAGAGGGUGAUCGGCCACACUGGGACUGAGACACGGCCCAGACUCCUACGGGAGGCAGCAGUAGGGAAUCUUCCGCAAUGGACGAAAGUCUGACGGAGCAACGCCGCGUGAACGAUGAAGGUUUUCGGAUCGUAAAGUUCUGUUGUUAGGGAAGAACACGUACCGUUCGAAUAGGGCGGUAUCUUGACGGUACCUAACGAGAAGCCCGA